AUAUGGGGGAUCCAGUGUCCACACUUAAGUUAUGUGUUUAAAAAAAAGAAAAAAAAGUCAUGUGCAAGGUGAAAUGCUUUUGGAUAAACAUAAGCCUAUUUUCUGACCUUUCUUAAUGCAAACUCUUUGCCUUAAAUGGUAGAAUAUUUAGAAAUUUGCACAAAAUACAAAAAAAAAUUAAAACAUUGUUUUGGAGGGUUAAGAAAUAGGUAUAUGAGUAUGUGUGUGUGUGUGUAUAGAUCUAUAUACACAUAUGUAUAUAGGCUGACUUGAUCUAGAACAGUAAAUCCGCCCUGCAAGUUAACCCCCCAUUGCAAUGGUUGCCUUAAGGUGUUUGCUAGUUGUGUACCUAGUGUGGUUUAUCAUUAGCUACACUGCUUCCCACUUGAUGAGAGCAAUGGGAAGCACACUGUGGCCUACCAGCGUCUGAAAACGUGUGCUCGACCUGUAUGUGUGCAGAGGUGGUGUGGGUGUGAGCGUGCAUGGAGGAAAAAAAGCUGCUACUCUCAGUAGGCCAAACGCUCAGGUGAAACAACUGACGAGUGUUACUGUAGGGUUUGUUUUGUUUUGUUUUGUUUUUUCUGUCAAAUUGCUACUUCUAUUGUGGAAGACAAAAGCAUUUCCAUUUCAACAGUUUGUCAGCUUUAUUAAUGUUGGGCAAAAUUGAUGUUAUGAAAAUGAAACAGAUCUAUAGUUUUGGGGCAAAAUUAUAAAAUUAAACAUGUAGGUAACCUAUUUAUAUACUUCUAUAAAGUAUUUUUUGAAGAGAGAUAUGCAAAGAAGCUAUUACCUACAUGAAAUGUAUAUUUAAAGAUUUUUUUUUCAUCCUGGGUGCCAGGAGUAUAAAAAAGAGCGGAUAUAUUUAACCAUAACAUACUGUGAUUCAUCAAACAGCACAAACUUUCAUUUCAUGGAGUUUAUCUGUUGACGUUGAUUUAAACUAUCAUUUGUUUUAUCAUGUGGGAACAUAAGUUAUGUGGUCAUAAGUAUAAGGAUUUUGAACUAAUGUUGAUUCAAGUUGUGUUGUCAUGUUGUAUUGUUUUUUCCAAGUGCUGCCAGUUUUAAAGGGAAGCAUUAUGUUUACAAAUAUGUUUUGAAAUGUUUGCCAAAAUCUUGGUGGUAUCUUAAAUAAAGAUGUUUGUCUCCAGCAUCCAAAAAAAUAAAUAAAUAACUUUGUUGUGUAUCGCUGUAAACCAGAAAAUGUUGGUAUCUAGAAAACCUGAGACAGCAUGUGGAUGAAACUUUCCCUUUGGAGUUCUUCUAAAACAUUAACAGGAAAGAGUAGAUGAUACAGUAAAAGUAUGCUAUCUCAAAAGACUGAAACAAGACCCAGUGCCCUAGAACUCUGUAACGUUACUACAGAAAUUUGAUUUCUAUGUAGCAUGGACCUCCUAGGGAAUUCGAUUUUCUUUUGGCAUUGAGAUCCCUGGUGCUCUUCCUUUUACCUCAGAAUUGGUACAAUCAUUAUUAAGUGUUCACUGAUUUCAAACUUUUAGUUGGAAAAACAAAAUAGGAAAGGACACUUAACUGAGGAUAAAUAUGAUCCUCACAUCAUUAUGGUGGAAUUUCCAGAGGAACUUGUCUAUAGGUACUGGUGUCAUUUCUUGGACAUCGCAGCCUUUUAAUCAUCGCUAGUGUGCUGCUACUUGCUAUGAGUGGUGUUUCUCAAAAGCAAGGUGCUUGCACCACUUGCAUAUCCCAAAUUGGAAUCUCUAGGGAUAGGGCCCACGUAUCUACAUUUUCGUAAGUAAUCCCCAAAGUGACUUUUGCGAGCUAAAGUGUGAAAACCACUAGCUUGGAAGUAACACUAAACCUUUAGGUCUCUAAAUUUCCAUGCCUUGAAGUGAAAUUGAACUACUGGCUUUUUUUUUAAAGCCCAUCCCUUUCAGCAGGUGCAAAUCACUUUCCCCCUCUACAUCAUAUGAGCCAAGCCUUCCAGUUGGUUAGCUGUUAGCCCUUGGAGCUCCUACCCACCUACAUCAGCACAUCUUCUGGUUUACAAAUUGGGUAAUAAUGGAAGCUGGAGAUGCUUUAUGAAAAUCCAGCAUUGCACACCCAUAGACUUGACCACCUACCUAUAAAAAGCCUUAAUUUAGAUGUUCCUUGUGUACACUGGGAAGAUCCUUGCAAAAUGUGUAUCUGUCAGUUGCAAAUAUGAGAGCUGUAAAUCUCUGAAUCUGCUAUUACCUGAGGCUGCAUCUCUUUUGAAAAAUGGGCAUGAGCCUAUUAAAAUAUUUAUAAUCAUUCUUCAUCUCCUACUGCAAGGUUUUUUAGAGUCUCUCAAAUAACUGCUGCAGGAAUGGGUGGCCACUUAGUAUCAGUUACUCUGGUAGAAUUUAUUUAGGUGUUUGUUUUUUGUUUUGUUUUUGAGAGAGAAAUAGUAAGUGUAAAUUAGCAUUGUCAAAAAUGAGUUGUUCUUAAUUGUUCAUCACAUUUCAUUAAAAUAAUCUGAAGCACUCUUGAAGGUUUUUUUUUUUUUUACCAAUACCCAUAAAUUUAACUCCAGAUUGAAUGAACAGCUGGUUUAACAUAAACCAAAAACAAUAUUAACUAGAUGUGGUUUUAUUUUAUGUGAGGAUUUCAUGUCCUACCUUGUUGGUUAUUUUUAGAGGGGUUAAUUUUCAGUACUUAAGUAGUUACAGUACUUGUUCUCACAAAAGUAAUUGGUGUGGUCAGUUGAUAUCAUUGAUCCAUGCAUUGAUUAUCAAAAUCCAGUAUUAAUUUUCCUUCAUUUCCAACCUAUCUUCUAAGCUUUAGAAAGGUUUUCUUUUCCCUUAAAAUAUUUCACCUUAUUCUGUACAGCAAAUGUAUAUUUUCCUGUUUGAAGCAAGAUGUUGAAAGGAGGUUUAGACACAAAUGGUCCAUCAGUUCCAACACUCGGCUUGGUUGCCUUACCCCUUCCAUUAGUGCAUCCUUUGCUUCUGGAACUUGGCUGAAACUCUUCAGCCAAGCUCAUUGUCUUUCUGGGAGUGUGAGUGUGGAGUCACAUAUGUGUGGUUUUUGCCUUUACUACUUUUGAAGUUCUUACAGGUUACGACUUGCCUAAGUGUUACUAAAUCCUUUUCUUGUGUCCUGGAUGGGGAAAAGGUAUAGCCAGCGCUUUGAGAGGGACAUUUUGGGAAAAGAUAUUAACUGACACAACUAAAUGAAGGCAACAGAAGAUGUUAUCAAUGCUCUUUGUAACCUGAAAACUGAAUAAGGCUCUGAGGCUCAUUCAAAAUAUUUUGAAGUGUUUAAAAAUAUGUAUGUAUAUAUAUACAUAUAUAUACAUAUACAUAAAAUAUACGCUGUUUCUCAGCUGUUCCACCCAAACCAUGUUAGGAAGGUAAAAUGUCACGGGGACUUUUCAGUUGUUAACUGAGCUCAGCAGCUAUGGUGGCCCAUGUUGUUCUACAUCAAUUUCAGUUCAAUAAAAAUGUUAACUUUGCAA
ensembl:lncRNA